UGAGAGGUGACGAUUGCUAACAUUUCAUAAUCAUACUCUGUCCUGACCUCUGCAAGCCACAACUUUGACAAUAAAGAGGAAAGAGGAUCCAGUCCCUAAAUACCGCAGGUUCACUAAGACCUUCCGACAUGCCCGAAGAAGAUACACUUGCAGAGGAGAAAUGAUGAUGCAGAGGACUGCUCCGAGAUGCAGGAGGAAGUUUAAUUACCUGUGAAUUUGACUGGGAUGGAAGGGAUGAAACGAGGAAUAGAAGGGAGGUCAUUCGAAGAGAUGAUGGCGUGGGACCCAGGACCUGAGGAAGCUGCAGUGGGUGAAGGGGAAAAACAGAGGAGCAGGGGCUGGAGAAAGAGUGGGGAGUCAUCAACUACCCUCCUUACUCCUGGUGUCUGGUGUUCGGAACCCAGAGGUCUUCUCUAGGGCCUCGGAGAAGCUUCCAAGUCUGUUCAUUUCUCUUUCCCCACCGCUGCUUGUAUCACAAAUAAAGAAAUUAUUGACAACUGAGCUCCUGACUAGGUGGCAUGAUUUUAGGGACCCUUCACCUCAACCGAGCCUCAUGAAGGUAGUGGGAGUCCCAUGGGUUAGUUAGCAAUAGUCCUUGAGAUUAUUUGGUCAUAUAAAUAAUCAGAAAACUCAUAGUCAUCUUUCUUUUCUCAUAAUGCCCA
rnacentral:lncRNA from 1 species